CUCCUAAAGAGUAACGGAGGAGCACGAAGGUUGGCUAAUCCUGGUCGGACAUCAGGAGGUUAGUGCAAUGGCAUAAGCCAGCUUGACUGCGAGCGUGACGGCGCGAGCAGGUGCGAAAGCAGGUCAUAGUGAUCCGGUGGUUCUGAAUGGAAGGGCCAUCGCUCAACGGAUAAAAGGUACUCCGGGGAUAACAGGCUGAUACCGCCCAAGAGUUCAUAUCGACGGCGGUGUUUGGCACCUCGAUGUCGGCUCAUCACAUCCUGGGGCUGAAGUAGGUCCCAAGGGUAUGGCUGUUCGCCAUUUAAAGUGGUACGCGAGCUGGGUUUAGAACGUCGUGAGACAGUUCGGUCCCUAUCUGCCGUGGGCGCUGGAGAACUGAGGGGGGCUGCUCCUAGUACGAGAGGACCGGAGUGGACGCAUCACUGGUGUUCGGGUUGUCAUGCCAAUGGCACUGCCCGGUAGCUAAAUGCGGAAGAGAUAAGUGCUGAAAGCAUCUAAGCACGAAACUUGCC
rnacentral:rRNA from 1 species